UAAAGUUUUAAAUGCACUUAUGCAUUUACAAGGUCACUUGUUUGCAAAACCCGAGCCUAUCCCAAGUAACUCAUCGGACAAUCGGUGGAAGUGGUUUAAGAAUUGUUUGGGUGCACUAGAUGGAACAUUUAUCAAGGUUUAUGUACAAAAUGUUGAUAAGCCUAGAUAUCAAACUCGUAAAGGAGAUAUUGCAACAAAUGUCUUAGGUGUGUGCACUCCUGACAUGCAAUUUGUGUAUGUUCUUUCUGGUUGGGAAUGAUCUGUAUCCGAUAGUCGAGUUCUUCGUGAUGCAAUUACUAAGGCACAUCCAUUGAAAGUACCUCAUUAAUUAUGGCAACUAGUGACACAUGCAGUUCAAAAAACAAGUCAAGGAGGUGGACCCAUGAAGAAGAUGUUG